rnacentral:rRNA from 1 species
CUCUUUCAGUCCCCCCAUCCCGACUCCCCCAUUUCCCCACCGGAGCGCAAAAUUCCACCGGCGGCCACCAUGCCGCCGCCGCCGGAGCUGUGCCGCGACCUCCUCGUGGACAUCCUCACCCGCCUCCCUCCGGACGACCCCGGGUGCCUCUUCCGCGCAUCGCUCGUCUGCACCGCGUGGCGCGCCCUCCUCACCAGCCCCGAGUUCGCCCGCCACUACCGCGAGGUCCACCGGACCCCGCCCCUGCUCGGAUUCUUCGAGAACCACGACACCGUCACGCCGUGGUUCGCGCCCUCGUCCCCCGCCGCCUCCCCCUUCCCCCCGCUCUUCCCCGACCGCCGCGCCCUCCACGUGCUCGACUCCCGCCACGGCCUCGUCCUCCUCAGUAACCCUAUACGAAUCACUGAGAAUGACCACGCCGUGAGCCUCAUCGUGUGGGACCCCGUAGGCCGCCGCCAGUGGGAGUCGUUCCCCCCUCCGGAUUUCGCCAGCACCAUCCUCUGCGACGUGGGGGUGGUGGUCUGCGCCGCCGACGACUGCGACCACCUCGGCUGCCAUGGCAGCCCCUUCCUCGUGGGCUACGUGGGCACCGACUACAGGAGCGCCCACGCCUCCGUCUUCUCUUCGGAGACGAAUAGCUGGAGCCCCGUUGUCUCUUGCCCCCACCCUGAUGUCGAGAUCCUGAGAGGCCAGCCCAAGCCCCUUGUUGGGAAUGCCGUCUACUUCAUCUGCGAGUACCACCCGGAUGAGAGUUUCAUUCUGUGCUUCGACCUCUUCAGCCGGAAACUGUCAAAGUUCGACGGGCCACCCAUCCAUCACUAUAAGUAUGCCCUGAUGAAAACAGAGGAAGGCGUGCUGGGAUGCGCGAGUAUGGAGGGAUCUCGGCUUUGCCUGUGGUCGACGGAGACUGGUCCCGACGGAGCUGUGGCAUGGAUGGAAAGCAGGGUCAUUGACCUCCACAAGCUGCUCUCUUCUAACUCAUUCCUCCAUGUGAUUGGCUUUGAGGAUAGAGCUGGUGUCUAUUAUCUGACGGCAGACUAUGGUGUCGCAACGGUUGAUCUUAAGUCAGGCCAAGUCAACAAGAUGUCCAUCAUCCAUUCCAAUAUCGUUCCCUACACAAGCUUCUACACUCCAGAUCAAGCCGUUGAGGUGGCCCAGCAGGGCAGAUGGGAGGAAGUGGGCGACAAGGAGGAGGAGGCCGAUGAGGAGGUGGAGCAGCAGGUAGAGAAAGCCGUGCAAGAGCUUUUCACCAAGGGGUCCAAAGCCCUUAAGGAUGAGGACUUCGUCGGCGCUGAAGACUGCAAACGCAGGAUCCUUGAGAUCAGGGUGGCACAUCAUGGUAAACUUUCUCCAAAGUGUCGCAGUGCAUAUCACAAUUAUGGAUGUGCUUUGCUACAGAAACCUCUACCAAAUCAGGAUUCAGUGAAGAGUACAACCACCCAAAGUAAUACUGAAAGGGACAUAGUAGAGGAUUUGGAUCUGGCCUGGAAAAUGCUGCAUGUUGCAAGGCCAAUAUCUGAGAAGAGUCCUGGCAGCACUACUGAGAAAUAUAAACUCUUUGCUGCUCUUGCUAGAGUUUCUGUGGAAAGAGGAGACAUGAACUACUCACUGAUUGCGUGCUUCAAAGCUUUGGCCAACAUGGAGCAUUUGCUUGAGCCUGACUAUCGUCAUAUUAUCAAUCAAAACCUACACAUACGUUUUGCCUUCGAGUUGCAGUCCAAGACUGGAGAUGCAAAGGCUAUCUCAUUGUGCAUGUCACGUGUAGAGGACCUGAAAAAGGCCAGUCAAGCUUUGUUGGCUGAUAAAGGCGGAGAUACAUCUGCUACUGAAGUUGGCUCAGAAAAUUCCCUUCCAGCCAAGGUUAUAGAGUUUUUUACUAACAAAAUACUGAGUACAUUGGAGGAGAAGCUUGAAGACCUGGAGCAAGCAAUAUCAACCCGAGUCUCAGAGGCAAGUGCUGGAGCUGACCUCGAGGCUGCAGGCUGGAUCUGCAAACGAGCUAAGCUCAAGCAAACCUCUGUUGAAGAUGAUGGCAGCGACUGCUCAUAUGGCGACAGCUAUGGCUCAGAUGUUGACAGCGGCGGCUCAUAUGGCGACAGCUAUGGCUCAGAUGACGACAGCGAUGGCUCAGAUGGCGACAGCGGAGGCUCAGAUGACGACAGCGACGGCUCAGAUGGCGACAGCGGCGGCUCUGUUUCAGAGUAGAGUACUGUUCCGUUUACCCCUAUUUGUUAGCCGCUUGUUCCUGGAGCCUUUUAUCUUGCACUAUGGUCCUGUUUUAGUUAGACGCAAACAGCCGCAUGCCCUUUUUGUUCUGCCUAAUGCAGACUAUGCUCUUCAUGUCCGCACGUAUGACAGGUUUCAUGAGUCAAAUUCUAUUUAGCUGAAGUCAAGUCCAAUAUUCCUGACAUUGAUCUACUGCUUGUCGGUCUGCAUGUGACACUAGCACGUUCCUGGAAAAGC